rnacentral:rRNA from 1 species
AGAGUUUGAUCCUGGCUCAGAUUGAACGCUGGCGGCAUGCUUUACACAUGCAAGUCGAACGGUAACAGGUCUUCGGAUGCUGACGAGUGGCGAACGGGUGAGUAAUACAUCGGAACGUGCCUAGUAGUGGGGGAUAACUACUCGAAAGAGUAGCUAAUACCGCAUGAGAUCUACGGAUGAAAGCAGGGGACCUUCGGGCCUUGUGCUACUAGAGCGGCUGAUGGCAGAUUAGGUAGUUGGUGGGGUAAAGGCUUACCAAGCCUGCGAUCUGUAGCUGGUCUGAGAGGACGACCAGCCACACUGGGACUGAGACACGGCCCAGACUCCUACGGGAGGCAGCAGUGGGGAAUUUUGGACAAUGGGCGAAAGCCUGAUCCAGCAAUGCCGCGUGCAGGAUGAAGGCCCCCGGGUUGUAAACUGCUUUUGUACGGAACGAAAAGCCUGGGGCUAAUAUCCCCGGGUCAUGACGGUACCGUAAGAAUAAGCACCGGCUAACUACGUGCCAGCAGCCGCGGUAAUACGUAGGGUGCAAGCGUUAAUCGGAAUUACUGGGCGUAAAGCGUGCGCAGGCGGUUUUGUAAGACAGUGGUGAAAUCCCCGGGCUCAACCUGGGAACUGCCAUUGUGACUGCAAAGCUAGAGUGCGGCAGAGGGGGAUGGAAUUCCGCGUGUAGCAGUGAAAUGCGUAGAUAUGCGGAGGAA